GUGCCAGCCGCCGCGGUAAUACGUAGGUGGCAAGCGUUAUCCGGAAUUAUUGGGCGUAAAGCGCGCGUAGGCGGUUUUUUAAGUCUGAUGUGAAAGCCCACGGCUCAACCGUGGAGGGUCAUUGGAAACUGGAAAACUUGAGUGCGGAAGAGGAAAGUGGAAUUCCAUGUGUAGCGGUGAAAUGCGCAGAGAUAUGGAGGAACACCAGUGGCGAAGGCGACUUUCUGGUCUGUAACUGACGCUGAUGUGCGAAAGCGUGGGGAG
rnacentral:rRNA from 1 species